CCUACGGGUGGCAGCAGUGAGGAAUAUUGGUCAAUGGGCGAGAGCCUGAACCAGCCAAGUCGCGUGAGGGAGUACUGCCCUAUGGGUUGUAAACCCUUUUUGUCGGGGAGCAAAAGCCGGACGUGUCCGGCUGUGAGAGUACCCGAAGAAUAAGCAUCGGCUAACUCCGUGCCAGCAGCCGCGGUAAUACGGAGGAUGCGAGCGUUAUCCGGAUUUAUUGGGUUUAAAGGGUGCGCAGGCGGAUUUUUAAGUCAGCGGUAAAAUCGUGGGGCUCAACCCCAUCCAGCCGUUGAAACUGGGGAUCUAGAGUGUGCGAGAGGUAUGCGGAAUGCGUGGUGUAGCGGUGAAAUGCAUAGAUAUCACGCAGAACCCCGAUUGCGAAGGCAGCAUACCGGUGCACAACUGACGCUCAGGCACGAAAGCGUGGGUAUCGAACAGGAUUAGAUACCCCAGUAGUC
rnacentral:rRNA from 1 species